rnacentral:ncRNA from 1 species
AGACCGCCAACUUGGUGAUCGUUCCAAAGGGCAGAGGAAAAGACCCACUUCUAACGGGGUCAUAAAGAUCCAUCAGCCUGCUACCGAACCUUGGUAAGGCGUUAGAGUCUUUGAUCACCACGAGACUAGAAAAAGAAACCGGCUUGAAUGAAAUCGCCCAGCAACACGGGUACGUCAUCGGAAGAUCUACCGAGACGGCCGUGAAAGCACUAUAUGAUUGGACAGAUCAAUGUUUGAACAGAAUAGUAAUUGGCACGUUCUUAGACAUAAAGGGUGCCUUUGACUAUGUCAGGCGACGUGUUUCGAGCUAUUUUACGACCCGUCUUGAAACACGGACCAAGGAGUCUAAUGUGUGCGCGAGUCAACGGUGAUCUUACGAAAAACCACGUUUGGCGCAAUGAAAGUGAACCGUUUACGGUGCGGACGAUGGCCUAGCGACCGAACCCACCGGCGUUCAAAGUCGCGCUGGUCCGCAGUCCGGGCGCGCACCCUUAGCACACACGUUGGUACCCGAACUAUGGUGAACUAUGCCUGGCCAGGAUGAACUAACCCUGAUGGAGGUCCGCAGCGAUUCUGACGUGCAAAUCGAUCGUCUGAGCUGGGUAUAGGGGCGAAAGACUAAUCGAACUAUCUAGUAGCUGGUUCCAUCCGAAGUUUCCCUCAGGACAGCUGGCGCCGAUGUGUCCCGCCCGUUCGCGGGCGUACGGACGCCGGUGGGACUCCGCGCUGUACGGCGCGGUAACAUCACGCUCGUAACACAGAGGAUGUCUCAUACGGUAAAUGGAAUGAUUAGAGGACAUUGGGGCCGAAACGACCUCAACCUAUUCUCAAACUAUAAAUGAGUGAGAUCGCCGGCUUUACCUGGUACACCGCGUGAACCGCGUGCGAAGCCGGCGACGGAACCCUAGGCGCUUAGUGGGCCAAUUUUGGUAAGCAGAACUGGCACUGCGGGAUGAACCGAACGCCGAGCUAAGGCGCCGAAAUCGACGCGUGUUCAGAGACCAUGAAAGGCGUUGGUUGCUGAUGACAGCAGGACGGUGGCCAUGGAAGUCGGAAUCCGCUAAGGAGUGUGUAACAACUCACCUGCCGAAGCAACUAGCUCUGAAAAUGGAUGGCGCUGGAGCGUCGUGCCUAUACUCGGCCGUCGACGGCAUAGUGGGGCCAGUCGUCGCUCGCGGCGGCCGGUCCCGGCAAGCCUCGACGAGUAGGAUGGCGCGGCGGUGUGCGUCGAAGGGCAGGUCGCGAGACCGCCUGGAGCCGCCGUCGGUGCAGAUCUUGGUGGUAGUAGCAAAUACUCGAGAGGGGCCCUCGGGGGCUGCCGUGGAGAAGGGUUUCUUGUGAACAGCCGUUGUCCAAGAGUCAGUCGAUCCUAAGCCCGGGGAGAGAUCCUCGUACCACGGGCGAAGGCGUUUUCGAAUCGCCCUUGGGGCGAGAGGGAAUCCGGUUCGUAUUCCGGAACCCGACGCGGAACCGCUCCCUAGUGUUCGGGGCUCUUUUGUCUCGUCUGGGUAACCAGAAUGAACUCGAAGAAGCCGCCGGGGGAUCUGGGUAGAGUUCUCUUUUCUCUGUGAGCGUUGUACGUCCCUGGAAUCCUCUAGCCGGGCGAUAGGGACGCGAGCGCGAAGAGCACCGCUCGUUGCGGCGGUGUCCGUGAUCCCCACGCGGACCUUGAAAAUUCGAGAGAGGGCCACGCGGAGUCUUCGCGUCGGUUCGUACCGAUAUCCGCAGCAGGUCUCCGAGGUGAGCAGCCUCUAGCCGCAUAGAAUAAUGUAAGGUAAGGGAAGUCGGCAAAACCGAUCCGUAACUUCGGGAUAACGGAUUGGCUCUGAGGA